rnacentral:rRNA from 2 species
UGGCGAACGGGUGAGUAACACGUGGGUGAUCUGCCCUGCACUUCGGGAUAAGCUUGGGAAACUGGGUCUAAUACCGGAUAGGAGCCAUCUUUAGUGUGGUGGUUGGAAAGUUUUUUCGGUGUAGGAUGAGCUCGCGGCCUAUCAGCUUGUUGGUGGGGUAAUGGCCUACCAAGGCGGCGACGGGUAGCCGGCCUGAGAGGGUGUACGGCCACAUUGGGACUGAGAUACGGCCCAG